rnacentral:guide_RNA from 1 species
GUAAAACAUCAUUGCCAAUAGAAUAAGAACU